UACGGGGGGGGCAAGCGUUGUUCGGAAUUACUGGGCGUAAAGGGCUCGUAGGUGGCCAACUAAGUCGGACGUGAAAUCCCUCGGCUUAACCGGGGAACUGCGUCCGAUACUGGUUGGCUUGAGUUUGGGAGAGGGAUGCGGAAUUCCAGGUGUAGCGGUGAAAUGCGUAGAUAUCAGGAGGAACACCAACAGCGAAGGCAGCACUCUGGGCCGGUACUGACGCUGAGGAGCGAAAGCAUGGGGAGCGAACAGG
rnacentral:rRNA from 1 species